rnacentral:rRNA from 1 species
UACGAAGGGGGCUAGCGUUGUUCGGAAUUACUGGGCGUAAAGCGCGUGUAGGCGGGUCUUUAAGUCAGGGGGGAAAUGCCAAGGCUCAACCUUGGAACUGCCUUUGAUACUGGAGAUCUUGAGUUCGGGAGAGGUGAGUGGAAUUGCGAGUGUAGAGGUGAAAUUCGUAGAUAUUCGCAAGAACACCAGUGGCGAAGGCGGCUCACUGGCCCGGUACUGACGCUGAGGUGCGAAAGCGUGGGGAGCAAACAGG